rnacentral:lncRNA from 1 species
AGGAAUCGUCCAUUUUACUCUUUCUUUUAGUGAUAGGAUUUGAGAUCAGCCAUUGGAUUGAAGUGGUGAGCUUCCACAUUCUAGAAAGCUUUAUUUGAUAUCCUGAAUGUAUUUACAUACUUUAGUUAUUUUAUGGAUAUUGGUUUUGGCUAUGGUUUGGGGCAUGUCCCAAUUGAAUAUUGUUUUUCUUUUAGUUAGAGGAUUUGUGUGACUACUAUGGGGUUGAAUGUGCGAUGUCGGUAUUGGUGACAGCCUUAGUAUUGGCAUUGGUAUUGGGGCUGAUACCGGUUGAUUGAAUUUAUGACUGUACUAUGUUAUGUUAUGUUAUAGACAAGAACUUGAUUUUUAUAUUGGUUUGGUUAUGGUUGAUGGAUAGUUGGACUUGUUUGGGUUGGUCAUGGUUAUAGACCUAUCUAAGAGUCUUAGGUUAUGCUUACACGCUAUCUUUUUAUGUGGUCAGAAUUCAUCCAAUUUAGGAUAUGCAUAGGUUGGUUGGGUUGGGUAACGGGGGUGGUCUUCAAUCUUGGUUGGACUUAGGAUGCCCAUUAUGAAGGCGUUCGAGUCGUCUUAAGUUGUUAUCAGAGCUUUAGGUUCAUGGACGUCCACAAAGCCAUGUUGAUUAGAGCCUCAUUUAAGGGUGUGUAGUAUGCCACACUCAUAAGGGACAGGCUAUAAGGUAUUUAGGAAAUGUUUCUCUUCUUGGUAUUCUGUUUUCAAGCUUAGAGGCCUUAGAAUCUUCUCUAAUCAUAGUUUGUUUGCUGUUAGGAUCAUGCCUCGACAAUCUGAGGCACAAUGUAACUCUUCUGUCCCAAUUGGGGAUAAUGUUGAAGUGACACGGACAACUCAAGGGAUCCAUACUUGGUCUAGGGGUCCAGUACCUGAUAUUUCUAAAGCUCCACCGGUUGCUACUAGUCCUCCUCAGGGUGAGGUGACAAAUACGAAAUUUCACCAAUCGAUUCAUGUUAUUGCUCAGUUAGUUGUUGCUCAGGCUAAGCAGGGUGUAUUUGGUGUUUCAUCUGUUGAGGCCACAAGGAUUGGCCAGUUUAUAAAGAAGGAUCCUUAGGGUUUCUUGGAUUAAAUAGAGAAAAAUUUCAGGGUAAUGCAGGCCACGAAUGUGGAAGGAGUGAAUUUUGUUGCUUACCAAAUUAAGGAUGUGGCAUACCAAGGUAUGGGGAGUAGGAUAGGUUGAGAGGUAAUGUUGAGGAGAUGACUUUGUGGGAGACUUUCUAUAAUGCUUUUCUGGAUCGCUUCUUUCCUCAGGAGUUGAAAGAAGCGAAAGCGGAGGAAUUUGUUAAUCUGAGGCAAGGAAAAAUGCCUGUCAUGGAAUAUUUCUUGAAAUUUCACCAACUGUCUAGGUAUGCUCCGGAAUUGGUUUCUGAUACGAGGGCAAGGAUGAGAAAUUUCACUUCUAGACUAUCUCGGGAUUUGAUCCUUGAAAGAAAGACUACAUUGUUGAUCAAGGAUAUGGACAUUUCUAGGUUGGUGGUUCAUAUGCAGUAGGUGGAGGAGGAAAAGAGAAAGCAGGUUGAGUUUAGAGAAAGGCAAGGUAAGAAGUUCAGAUAUUUUGAACAAGGUGGUGGGCAACAACAAGGUGGUCGGGAUGGUGAUGAGUGGCUAAAGAAGAAGUGAGGGAGUUCUGGUUCCUUCUCUGUAGCUAGUGCUCCUUACCUAAAGUAGUUGGGUGAUGGGCGUUAUCAGGGUGAUGAUAAUUUCGAGGCACUGGGUACCCAAUCUCAGGAAAGGGGGUCCCAUUCGACCUCAUCAUGACCUCAUCAUGCCCUCCUUGUCAGUUUCAUGGUAGGUUGCAUAGGGGUUUCUGUGAUGAGGGGAGGGACAAGUGUUUCAAAUGUGGUCGGCCAGGUCAUAUGCUUAGAAAGUAUCCGGUUGGUAAGGGUGAUUCGGGGGAGAUCAAGGCUCCGAUUGCAUUAUUUUUUUCUUCUACACCAAAGGGUUCUGCUUCUGCAUUAGUUUCUACUUCUGGUACCGACGUGGGUCAAAAUAAGUUAUAUGCUCUUGCUACUCGGGAGGAAUCUGAGGCAUCACCUGAUGUCGGAUUGGUACGUUAUAACUCUUUUCUCUGACAUAUAUUGUUUUCUUGAUCCGUGGUCUACUUUCUUAUAUAACCCUAUUUGUGGUUGCGUAUUUUGGUUUUGAUCCUGAGGUUAUAUCGGAUCCUUUUUUUGUUUAUACCAUGGUAAGUGACUGUUUGAUUACAAAAAAAGUUAAUAGGGGGUGUGGUAUCUUUCAAUAGCAGGAAGACUUUGGUGGACUUGUUUGACCUUGAUAUGGUGGAUUUUAACGUAAUUUUGCGGAUGGAUUAGUUACACUCUUGUUAUGGGUCCUUAGAUUGUCGGGCCCGUAAGGUUGUCUUUAGGCUCCCUGGUGAAUCGAUUAUUGAGUAGGAGGGUGGUUCCCUAGCUCCUAGGGGGAACUUUAUUUCUUAUCUUUGAGCUCGGAGAUUAACCUCCAAAGGGUGUCUCUAUUAUUUGGUCCGGGUUAAAGAUUCUAACUCGAAGAUCCCUUCUUUACAUUGUUUUGGUGGUAAAUACUUUUCUGAUGUAUUUUCGGAUGAUCUUCCUAGUAUUUCUCUGGAUAGAGAGAUUGAGUUUGGCAUUGAUUUGGUUCCGGACACUCGUCCAAAAUCUGUUCCUCCCUAUAGAAUGGCACCGGCUGAGUUGAGGUGCACCGAUGUUAUUCGUGUGUAAGAAAAUGGUUCCCAUCGGAUGAGCAUUGACUAUCAACAAUCAAAUAAGGUGACAUUUAAGAACGAGUAUCCUCUUCUAAGGAUAGAUGACUUGUUUAAUCAGUUUCAAGUCCUCCUCAGGGUGAGGUGACAAAUACGAAAUUUCACCAAUCGAUUCAUGUUAUUGCUCAGUUAGUUGUUGCUCAGGCUAAGCAGGGUGUAUUUGGUGUUUCAUCUGUUGAGGCCACAAGGAUUGGCCAGUUUAUAAAGAAGGAUCCUUAGGGUUUCUUGGAUUAAAUAGAGAAAAAUUUCAGGGUAAUGCAGGCCACGAAUGUGGAAGGAGUGAAUUUUGUUGCUUACCAAAUUAAGGAUGUGGCAUACCAAGGUAUGGGGAGUAGGAUAGGUUGAGAGGUAAUGUUGAGGAGAUGACUUUGUGGGAGACUU